rnacentral:lncRNA from 1 species
AGGUUUCCAAGGAAAGAUGGGACGGGGCCGGUGAGAAGAUUCUGUCUGAGAUCGAGAAAGUUAAGCUGCGAGAGUUUGGAAAUGGCUUGUGGGAUUUUGCCGGUGGCGUUGCAGGCGUGGAUGGUUAGGUCUUGGAGGUAGGGGAGGUCGCCAAUGGCGGCCGGAAUAGGGAGAUGGAGAUCGGUUUGGGCGAGGACAAAUUCGGUAAUUCGGUUGGUUUUGUCGUCGCAUUUCACCACGUACCAGUGGUCGCAGCAGUCGGUUUUGGGAUCCCAAGAGAUGAGGAAGUAAGGGUCGUUGAGGUCUUUCUUGAUCUGAAGGAGGGUAUUCUUGUCAUUUGGGUGGCACCUCUCUGUGAAUGAGACCGAGAGAAAGGAAAUAGAAAUGAGGAAGAGGAGAGGAAGAUGGGAAGAAGCCAUGGAUUGGAAUUUGAAUUUUGGAUAAUGGUAAUAGUGUGACAACUAUCCGAAAAAUGCCCCAAUUUAUAUUUGUCAAACCUAUUAUAAAACGAAGGGAAAACUUGUAUACGGCCAAUAUAAAAACAGUACCAAUCAUGGACCUUUAAAUAAAGUAUAAAUAAAUCAUGUAGCCCUUUACAUAUUUCUUUUUAAGUUUAUUCUUUUUGGCAUUAUAUUUAUGCAGUAUAGAACUUCGUUAACGGAAUUUUGGUUCAAGAUUGAAUUUUUAUUCCAUAACAAUAAUAAUAGGCAACAUCACACAUUACAUAUCAAAUCUUAAACAACAUUAAAAUUUGACACCAAUCAUUUGCAGUUGGGCAAAGGUUUACCACACAAGCACUUGUUGUGAAAGAAGACGGUGGAAUCGAGUUCCUGCAGACUGCCGCCGACCGGAAUCUGGCCACAGAGCCUGUUGUAGCUCACAUUCAGAUUAAUAUAAUCAAACUUUGUCAACCCCGCCGGUAAGCUCCCGAAAAUCUGGUUAUGGCUCAAAUCCAAGUUAUGCAUGGUGUCCGAAAACUCAACCUUGGAGAAAUCGAACUUAAACAAGUUCCUCGAGAAGUCGGCGGUGUUCAAAAUCUUCUUUUUCCCGAACAUGAAGGAUAUGUCCCCUUCCAGCUUGUUUCUAGAAACAUCAAACAAGUUGAAGUCCGCACGUCCCAAACUCGCCGGAAUGGGGCCGGAGAGCUGAUUACGGGACAGGUAGAAAUAGAUUUGCUUCGCCUUCAAGUCCCCGAACGAUUCAGGAAUGCCGCCGGUGAGGUUGUUCCGGUCUAACAGCAGGCCGCUGAGCUUCGGCAGCUGAGAGAGCGACGGAGGAAUCGAACCGGUGAGGCCGUUGCGCGACAGUCCGAUGUAGGUGAGCUUUUUGAGGCUUCCAAGGAAAGUGGGACGGGGCCGGUGAGAAGUUCUGCCUGAGAUCGAGGAAGUCGAGCUGCGAGAGCUUGGAAAUGGCUUGUGGGAUAACGCCGGUGGCGUUGCAGUUGUGGAUGGCGAGGUUUUGGAGGUAGGGGAGGUCGCCGACGGCGGCCGGGAUGGGGAGGUGGAGGUUGGCCUUGGAGAGGUCAAAUUGGGUAAUGCGGUUGGUUUUGUCAUCGCAUUUCACGCCGUACCAGUCUUCGCAGCAGUCCGUUUUGGAACUCCAGGUGAUGAUGUCAUACGGGUUUUUCAGGUCUUUCUUGAUUUGGAGGAGGGCUUUUUUGUCAUUUGCGUUGCACCUCUCCGAGAGUGUGAGAGACGAGAGGGAGAGAAUGAGGAGAGCCAAAAUGGGAAGAAUACAAGUCAUUGGUUUGUCCAAUUAUGGAUAUUGGGAUAGAGAUGUGCGAUCUGUUGGGGCUGCUUUAUAAGGAAAUGUGAGGCUCGUUCUUAUUACCCAACUUCGGAUUGCAAUGGUCGGCCAAUUCAAAUUCUAGCUUAAUCUUUGAAUAUGACUGUAAAUGAGUCGAGCCGAAUACUAAUAGGCUGGAGCUCGAUUCUUUUAAAUAUUUGAGUGUUUGAGUUUGACUAGAGCUCGAUUCUAGCUUCGAUUUUGUUAAGUGAACUCGGCUUGUCACCCAGCUACCGAACUUCUAUCUAAAUAAAUUUCUCAUAAUAAUUCAAAUCCCUUAUCUAUUAGUUAGAAGAAAUGUGUCAUAUCGACUAAGCUACAAGGUAUUUAAUAUAAGAAGAGUGUAAAAUCCAUAAUAAAAACCAAAAAUCGAAAACUAAUUGUUGGAGGAUAGUGUCUUAUCAAGUGUGAAGUAGUAUUUGAUUUAUGAAGAGUUUAAAUUUGAGAGUAAGAAAUCCAUAAUAAAAACUAAAAAUCUUAAACUAAUUUUAUGAGCCUUCAAAUUACAUAUUGUGAGAUCAUCAAAUAUACAUUAGCCGCCUAUAUAUGGCGUAGUGAAGUACAGAUUGUGAAUUGGGAGCAGCACUUGAAAAAUAUAAUUACCCAAGUUGUUGCUACUAAUGAGAGUCGCAGCACUUUGGAUGAAAGGACUCAUUAUUGUAUCCACAACUUUGGAUAAUAUACGUUUCAUCCAAUAUUGAAUCAUGAAAUGUGGGGCAUUCGUCCCAAAAGUAGAGCAUGCUCUUGUCGGAGCUAUUUGUCUCAUCAUAUGAUCACUUUCCUAUCCAAGGAUAAAUUAAUUACACAUUUUCGUAUUUAAUAGCUCUAACUAGCUAAUCAUUUUACUUAAUAAUAAAUAACUUCAACAAAUUUUUAUGAAUAAAUUAUUUUAUUUUUUAUGAAAUAUAAUAAGAAUUAAAUAGAAAAAGAAAAGAAAAUAAAAUAUAAAACAUCAAAGUUAAAACUAAAUAAGAAAUUAAAAUUUGAACACCUCCAUCGGUGAUGUCGGAUCAGCUCGUCUGUUAGCAUCAGAGGGUGGCAAUGGGAAUUGGGAUAAGAGAGUCUUUUUUUCCCUUGUUAAUCUUUUUAUUUAGUUUUUUUUUGUUGGAAUUAAACAUUUUAUAAAAAUAUAUUUAGGAUUUCACAUUUUAAAUUAUUUUAAUAUUUGUCUCUUUUCAUUAAUGUGGUAAUAAUAAUACAUCACUACAUCAGAAAUUGAAAAAUAAAAAUAUUGUCGCGUUUGGUGUGGUUUAAGAGACAGAUGAGAUAUAUGUCACGUUUAUUUCAUUAAAGGUUCAGAUGGACGUCACAAUUCAAAUAUCACCGAGCAAUAACCUUGUCAGCCUUGCUUGCAUUUUCUUUCAUAUUUUAAAUUUUUUUCAAGCUAUAUAUCACGUUUUAUUUUAUUUAACUACAUCGUGUCAUUUAUGUUCUUGUUAAUUAUUACAUCCAUCUCAAUUCAAUAGAUCACAUUUUUUUCAUUUGAAUAUUUGAACGUUUCAUUUUAACAAAUGACUCUUAAUUAACAAGAACAUAAAUGAUAAGGGCUCUUAAUUAUAUUCUCUCUCCUACUUUAUUACUUUAAUUAUAUUAUUUCUCAUACUUUAUCACUUUUAUACUACACAUUUAAAACACUAAUCUACAACUCCUUAAUUUUCUUGUCAAAAAGAAAUGACUCAAGAUUCGUGGGACGGAGGGAGUAUAUUUUAAAACAAUAAUGCUACUUUAUAUCGUAUUUUAUUAUAAACUAUUUAUUUUUAACAUUUGUGCCUUGAACUUAUGAUCCGUUAAAUUGAGAGUCUUAGUUGAGAUUUCUUUGAUUUUUUUUUUUUUUGGAUAAAUCUAUAGUAUUAAAUUAGAAUGGAUAAAAUAUAAUAUAUGAAAUCACACUUGCAGCAGUUAUUUUUGUCCAAAUUCUUCUUCUCUCCUUCAUAUUUUCUCUGUUAUUUCUCUAUCUUACACGCUUUCUUACUUGAUGUAUGUAACAUGCUAACUUUUUUUCAUCUCUCUUAUUUUCUUUUCUCCUUUCCCUGUUCUAAAUCUUUUUUAAAAAAAACUAAUAAAUUAAUACUACUACAUUUCUACUUUUAUUUAUAAUAGUAGGAUCCACAAAAUCUACCAACAAUAAUAAUGAUAUCCAAACUCUACUCACUACUAUCAAAUAUUAUCCACUAUUUUUAAAAAUUCGUGUCAUCCACAGGGUGGAGACGAUAUCGUGGACGGAUGGAGUAUGAAAUUGAAAUGAAAAAAAAUUAUAUCUUUCAUAUUUUCUCCGUCAAUUACUCUUAUCUUAGACGCUUUCUUACUUCAUGUAUGUGACAUGGUAACAUUUUUUCAUCAAAGUUUUAAGUAACCGAUAAAUUAACAAUAAAUUUAAAGAUGGCUUUGAUCAAAACAUUAAUCACUUGACUCGUAAAAAAGUUCGGAUUUUUUGAAAGUGGGAUCACCCUGGUCCCUGGAUAUCUCUAACCACCGAAAAUUCAACAUAUCGCUGGCCCUUUAUCAAAUAUCCAAAAUACAAAGUUAAUUUCAUUAAGAAUACAACAUAUUCCAAGAAUUGAGCAAUUUGUACUACAUCAUAUCUUAUUCGAUUAAUAACAUAUGUAAGCAUAAACAAUAAUAUAGUACUCCCUCCGUCCCUAAAAUAACUUCCUCUUUUUCCAUUUUGGGACGUCCCCCAAAUAACUUCCUCUUUCUUUCUUUCCAUUUUUGGAAACCUACCCCACCACUAAUAAUACUUUAUUUAUUCUUACUUUUCACUUUUCACCACUCCCAAUACUAUAACACUUCUCACAACUUCCAAUAAUAAUUAUAUCACUUUUUCUCCACUAUCAAUACACUUUACAACUUUUUAUUAAAACCCGUGCCGUCCCCAAAGAGGAAGCCAUUUCAGGAACGGAGGGAGUAUUAAAUUAGAGAAAAAUCAUUUGCAUUCUGGCAAAGGACUACCGCACAAACACCUGUUGUGAAAAUAGGCCGUAUAAUCGAAGUCCUGCAGCCUGCCGCCGACGGGAAUCCGACCACACAGCCUGUUGUAACUCACAUUCAGCGAAAUCCUAUCAAACUCAGCCAAACCCACGGGCAAGCUCCCAAAAAUCUUGUUAUGGUUCAAAUCCAAGUUCUGCAAAUUCCCCGGAAACUCCACCUUGGAAAAAUCGAACUGCAACAAGUUCCUCGAAAAGUCAGCAGUGUUCAAACUCUUGUUUUUCCCGAACAUGAAGGAUAUGUCUCCUUCCAGCUUGUUUCUAGAAACAUCGAGCAAACUGAAGUUGGUAUAUCCCAAGCUUCUCGGAAUCGGGCCGGAUAGCUGAUUGUGCGACAUGUACAGAUAGAAAUCCUGCACCUUAAAAUAUCCGAACGAUUCAGGAAUGCCGCCGGUGAGGUUGUUCCGGUCCAACAGCAGGCCGCCGAGCUCCGGCAGCUGAGAGAGCGACGGCGGAAUCGAACCGGUCAGGCUGUUGCGCGAGAGUCCGAUGUAUGUGAGUUUUUUGAGGUUUCCGAGGAAAGAUGGGACGGGGCCGGUGAGAAGAUUCUGUCUGAGAUCGAGGAAGUUGAGGUGCGAGAGUUUGGAGAAGGCUUGUGGGAUUUGGCCGGUGGCGUUGCAGUUGUGGAUGGCUAGGUCUUGGAGGUAGGGGAGUUCGCCGAUGGCGGCCGGAAUCGGGAGGUGGAGGUUGGCCUGUGCGAGGACAAAUUCGAUGAUUCGGUUGGUCUUGUCGUCGCACUUGACGCCAUACCAGUGUCGGCAGCAGUCUGUUUUGGGAUUCCAAUUGGUGAUGUCGAGGUCUUUCUUGAUUUGGAGGAGGGCUUUUUUGUCAUUUGGGUGGCACUUCUCAGAGACUGUCUCUGAGAGGGAGGCCAAGCCCAAGAGGAGGAGAGAGAGAAUAGAGAGAUGGG